rnacentral:lncRNA from 1 species
UCAUUUCUCUUGGCCGGCCAAAGGAAGAAAAGGGAAGAAAAUAAGAAGAACAAAAACUUAGCUAAGAAAUUCAAGAGAAAUUCACAAAAUUUCAAAGAAUUAAAUGACAAAAGGCAAGAUUUUUCACUUCUAGCUUGUGAUCUACCUUUCCUAUGCAUUCUUUUUCAUUUUCCAUGGUUGAGAAUCAAGUUUGCAUGAGGAUACCCUUCCUGGCCGAACAUGGGGGGAGGAGUUUUGAACUUGGAUUUGGAUAGAUUUCAAUAUAUUCUAGUGUUUUUAGUUAGUUAGUGAUGUGUAGCAUGAAAAACAAACAAGAAAAAUUUAUUUUCUCCCAUCACCCUCCAUUGGCCGAAUCUUCUCUAUGGUGUGUUGAUGGUGGACUUGAUUUUAUUUCAAGUGAUUUGAUUAGGAAUGAAUGAUUUAUGGUGUGAGAAUCAAGCAUGAAAAAUUAUAUUAUUAGUGCACUCACCAUGGCCGAAUUUUUCAAGAGAAAAUGUGAGGAUGAUUUUGCCACAUUUCAAGUUAUUUAAAUCAUGUUUAAUGAUUUGGAGUAUCGGAGAGAAAUGGAAUUGUUUGGAGUUGAAUUGGACAUAUUGGCCAAUUAAUCAGGUGAUAGAUCGAAUUAGGCUAAUACCAUUUUAUUUAGGUAAAUAAUUGAAUUUAUAUUGAACAUCGUAUUUAGAUAGUUACCCGAGUAUUUCACAUCCCAUUUCAUGCAUUAGUAUAAAGCCUGAAUUGGUUUCACAACGGUUUAGCACAAAUGUAGUAAAUGGCUUAUUGUGCAUUAUGUCUAGGUGGUGAGCUUUCUGGCAAAAGUAAGGAGAUGUACCCGAGGAUCAAGAAUCGGAGUACUCGAAACUCAAUUUCUAUUACAGUGAGUAACCUUAUCAUCAUCUUGAUUAUCUGAAGUGAAUUUUAAUUCGUUUUUGUGAUUUUAUGGAAAAUGAGUUUAAAUGGUAAAUCUUUAUGUUUUAUAAGCAAAAUGUGAUUAAAUGAAAUGAUUUUAUAAAAUUGUCUUGAAAUUGAAUGAUGGUUUUGAAAAUGGAGUAAUUAGAGACUAAUUGUUGUGUUGUAAAUUAUGAUUUAAAUAGAAUGGCUUAUGAUAAUGUGGGCAUGAGUGGCUGGAUUGGUAAUUGUGCUAAACAUAUGUGAAUUGUUGUUUUGCCUUGACAUGCUGUGUUGUAAAAUAAUUGCCACGUCAUGCUGUUGGAAUUUUAUUGAUUUGGUGGGAUAUCGAUUAGCUUGCUGCAGUGGGUAGGUUCAUGGACCAACCUAUUAGAGGGGCACGAAAUUCGGUUAUAUACGUACCUCGGUUGGAGAGGCACGUAGGGUAACUCCCGAGGUAAAACUUUAGAUUUUACUUCACACUAAAUCACCACAUGAGGGUGAACUCAGCCAACGCCAAGGAACGGCUAUGUUUUCAAAAUAAAAACAUGAUUUAUGCGUACAUGACUUUUUAACAACCUUGACGGAUUCGGUUGGAAUAACCCUAGGCCAAGGUAUCCCUGACAACCGAGUAUGAGAAUGAUUUUGGUACGAGCCAAGCUUUUCAGGAAAUCAUAAGCCUCAUUGUUUAUUUGGGUGAAAUGAAUCUAUUUUAUCUUAUUAAAAUGAGUUCGAAAUGUUGUGAAUCAUUUUUAUGCUAAUCUAUUUUAUCUAUCUUCAUUUACUCAGUUUUAGAUAUUUUAGAUGAUAUUUGUUUACUCACUGGGAUUAUAUAAUCUCACCACCCUCCUUUCCACUCAUUUCAAG